rnacentral:rRNA from 1 species
GCGGUUUGGGAUCAUUAUGCCAGCAUCCUUGAUAAAAUCGCAGUCCUCGGUCUAGGCAGGCAGCAUCAACGCAGGCUAUAACACUUCACCGAAGCAAAGUCACAUUCCUACGCCAUUAUCCUACCGCCCAAACCGAUGCUGGCCCGAUAAGCUGCGGGUCACCCCGCCACGAAGGCAAGGCUCACAAAAUAUCGAGUCUGAUCUCAAACCCUUCCCUUUCAACAAUUUCACGUACUUUUUCACUCUCUUUUCAAAGUUCUUUUCAUCUUUCCAUCACUGUACUUGUUCGCUAUCGGUCUCUCGCCAAUAUUUAGCUUUAGAUGGAAUUUACCACCCACUUAGAGCUGCAUUCCCAAACAACUCGACUCUUCGAAAGCACCUUACAUAGGAUUGGGCAUCUCAUCGCACGGGAUUCUCACCCUCUGUGACGUCCUGUUCCAAGAAACAUAGACAAGAGCCAACCCCAAGGUUACAAUCUUCAAAUUACAACUCGGACACCGAAGGUGCCAGAUUUCAAAUUUGAGCUUUUGCCGCUUCACUCGCCGCUACUAAGGCAAUCCCUGUUGGUUU